rnacentral:tRNA from 1 species
AUCAGUUUAGUUUAUAAAAACACCAAUUUGUGAAACUGGAGAUAGAAACUAAGACUUCUAGCUAAUC